CAGUAGCCACGGUAAUACGUAGGUGGCAGGCGUUGUCCGGAAUUAUUGGGCGUAAAGCGUGCGCAGGCGGUUUUGUAAGACAGGCGUGAAAUCCCCGGGCUCAACCUGGGAAUGGCGCUUGUGACUGCAAAGCUAGAGUGCGGCAGAGGGGGGUGGAAUUCCGCGUGUAGCAGUGAAAUGCGUAGAUACGCGGAGGAACACCGAUGGCGAAGGCAAUCCCCUGGGCCUGCACUGACGCUCAUGCACGAAAGCGUGGGGAGCAAACAGGAUUAGAUACCCCUGUAGUCCCUGUCUCUUAUAC
rnacentral:rRNA from 1 species